UACGUAGGGUGCAGGCGUUAAUCGGAAUUACUGGGCGUAAAGCGUGCGCAGGCGGCCUGCUAAGAGAGAUGUGAAAUCCCCGGGCUUAACCUGGGAACUGCGUUUCUAACUGGCAGGCUUGAGUGUGGCAGAGGGGGGUGGAAUUCCACGUGUAGCAGUGAAAUGCGUAGAGAUGUGGAGGAACACCGAUGGCGAAGGCAGCCCCCUGGGCUAACACUGACGCUCAUGCACGAAAGCGUGGGGAGCAAACAGG
rnacentral:rRNA from 1 species